rnacentral:rRNA from 1 species
AGCGAACGCUGGCGGCAGGCCUAACACAUGCAAGUCGAACGGAUCCUUCGGGAUUAGUGGCGGACGGGUGAGUAACACGUGGGAACGUGCCCUUUGGUUCGGAACAACUCAGGGAAACUUGAGCUAAUACCGGAUGUGCCCUUCGGGGGAAAGAUUUAUCGCCAUUGGAGCGGCCCGCGUCUGAUUAGCUAGUUGGUGAGGUAACGGCCCACCAAGGCGACGAUCAGUAGCUGGUCUGAGAGGAUGAUCAGCCACACUGGGACUGAGACACGGCCCAGACUCCUACGGGAGGCAGCAGUGAGGAAUCUUGCGCAAUGGGCGAAAGCCUGACGCAGCCAUGCCGCGUGAAUGAUGAAGGUCUUAGGAUUGUAAAAUUCUUUCAGCGGGGACGAUAAUGACGGUACCCGCAGAAGAAGCUCCGGCUAACUUCGUG